UUAUUUGUUCAGAAGUUGAAUAUUCUGGGUAAGAACCUGUCUCUAAUGUAUCUGUGCAGUGCCUAGAUCAAAUGAGCUCCAAUUUUUGUUGUAGCUUCCAGGCUCUGCUGAUGAAUAUACUGGAUUCACAAACUGCACCUGCGCUAUCCUGAAAGAGUGAUCUUGAUGGAAGAUGAUCCUGGCAGAAGCUGGCCGAGCUGAUGGCCAUGUUUCUGGCAUGCUAGUUCAUGCAGAGGAGAUAUCUGGCUUUCUGGUUUGCUUAAUAGCUGACCAACUAUCCCCUGCACCACCUCUGAAAAUCAGUUGGUGACCAAGAGCCAAACACUCGUAUCUUUCUAUGGAUCUUCUUGUUCAGGAGAGGGUAACUACUGUAGGAUACUGUUAAAGGUGGAUGAUCAACUGGUUGAUUAUAACAUGGGUGCAUCUAUCUGAAAGCUACUGAUAUUGCUGAGAACAUCCUGAAAGGCUGUUUCAAAUACAACAUUUAACUAUUUUUGUAGCAGAGUGAGCUGCUGAGCAUCACAAUGGGCAUUAGAUCUGCAAGAAGUGAAGCUGGUUUUAGUCACACUUAGCUUUAACUCAGGGGACAAGCCAAAAGCAAGUAUUUUAACUGCAUUUACCAACACAAGUGGAAGCACCUGUGCAUGCAAGUCACUCUGCCCUCUGUUACUUGAACUCCUCUCUUGAGGGCUUAAUCCUGCAACCCUUCCUAACACAAAUAACUUUCUCUUCUGUGGGUUUAUCACAUGCAGAGGAUUUGCAGAUGAAGGGUUUCUGUUUGCACUUGCAGCACUUUUGAUUCCACUGGUAACAAGAAGAUUCUACCAGAUUUUUGAUUCCACUGGUAACAAGAAGAUUGCUUUGAUUCACCUAUCUUCAGGUAUGAGUCAGGCAUGUCUGGGUGAACAACCUCUAUAACUAAAGGAAGUGACAUAAAUAAUUCUUCCUUGAAAUAAGCUCUUCUCUCUGCAUGGAUAGUGUCGAAGUGCAUGGAUAACCAAUGUCCAAUGUCCUCAAUCUUACUCACUGCAGCC